AACGAACGCUGGCGGCAUGCCUAACACAUGCAAGUCGAACGAGACCUUCGGGUCUAGUGGCGCACGGGUGCGUAACGCGUGGGAACCUGCCCUUAGGUUCGGAAUAACUCCCCGAAAGGGGUGCUAAUACCGGAUAAUGUCUUCGGACCAAAGAUUUAUCGCCUUUGGAUGGGCCCGCGUUGGAUUAGCUUGUUGGUAGGGUAAAAGCCUACCAAGGCGACGAUCCAUAGCUGGUCUGAGAGGAUGAUCAGCCACACUGAGACUGGGACGCGGCCCAGACUCCUACGGGAGGCAGCAGUGGGGAAUAUUGGACAGUGGGCGAAAGCCUGAUCCAGCAAUGCCGCGUGAGUGAUGAAGGCCGGAGGGUUGUAAAGCUCUUUUACCCGGGAUGAUAAUGACGGUACCGGGAGAAUAAGCUCCGGCUAACUCCGUG
rnacentral:rRNA from 1 species